CCAAGACUAUUUUCAUAACGAAAAUAGACAACCCAAGACGAGGAGAUUAACAUG
rnacentral:ncRNA from 1 species